ACACGACUACAUUAGAUAACCCGCGUAGUCCCAGCCCUAAACGAUGCGCGUUAGGUGUAUCGGUGACCACGAGUCACCGAGGUGCCGAAGGGAAACCGUGAAACGUGCCGCCUGGGAAGUACGGUCGCAAGGCUGAAACUUAAAGGAAUUGCGGGGGAGCACCACAACGGGUGGAGCCUGCGGUUUAAUUGGACUCAACGCCGGGAAGCUCACCGGAUAAGACAGCGGAAUGAUUGCCGGGCUGAAGACCCUGCAUGACCAGCUG
rnacentral:rRNA from 1 species